ACCCGCUGAACUUAAGCAUAUCAAUAAGCGGAGGAAAAGAAACCAACAGGGAUUGCCCUAGUAACGGCGAGUGAAGCGGCAACAGCUCAAAUUUGAAAUCUGGCUCUCGGGCCCGAGUUGUAAUUUGUAGAGGAUGCUUUUGAUGCGGUGCCUUCCGAGUUCCCUGGAACGGGACGCCAUAGAGGGUGAGAGCCCCGUCUGGUUGGAUGCCAAAUCUCUGUAAAGCUCCUUCAACGAGUCGAGUAGUUUGGGAAUGCUGCUCUAAAUGGGAGGUAUAUGUCUUCUAAAGCUAAAUACCGGCCAGAGACCGAUAGCGCACAAGUAGAGUGAUCGAAAGAUGAAAAGCACUUUGAAAAGAGAGUUAAAAAGUACGUGAAAUUGUUGAAAGGGAAGCGUUUAUGACCAGACUUGGGCUUGGUUAAUCAUCUGGGGUUCUCCCCAGUGCACUUUUCCAGUCCAGGCCAGCAUCAGUUUUCCCCGGGGGAUAAAGGCGGCGGGAAUGUGGCUCUCUUCGGGGAGUGUUAUAGCCCGCCGUGUAAUACCCUGGGGGGGACUGAGGUUCGCGCAUCUGCAAGGAUGCUGGCGUAAUGGUCAUCAACGACCCGUCUUGAAACACGGACCAAGGAGUCGUCUUCGUAUGCGAGUGUUCGGGUGUCAAACCCCUACGCGUAAUGAAAGUGAACGCAGGUGAGAGCUUCGGCGCAUCAUCGACCGAUCCUGAUGUUCUCGGAUGGAUUUGAGUAAGGGCAUACGGGGCCGGACCCGAAAGAAGGUGAACUAUGCCUGUAUAGGGUGAAGCCAGAGGAAACUCUGGUGGAGGCUCGCAGCGGUUCUGACGUGCAAAUCGAUCGUCAAAUAUGGGCAUGGGGGCGAAAGACUAAUCGAACCUUCUAGUAGCUGGUUUCCGCCGAAGUUUCCCUCAGGA
rnacentral:rRNA from 1 species